UACGAAGGGGGCAAGCGUUAUUCGGAAUUAUUGGGCGUAAAGGGCGCGUAGGCGGCCUGGCAAGUGGAAGGUGAAAUCCCUCGGCUUAACCGAGGAACUGCCCUCCAAACUGCUUGGCUUGAGUCCGGGAGAGGUGAGUGGAAUUCCCAGUGUAGCGGUGAAAUGCGUAGAUAUUGGGAGGAACACCAGUGGCGAAGGCGGCUCACUGGACCGGAACUGACGCUGAGGCGCGAAAGCGUGGGGAGCAAACGGG
rnacentral:rRNA from 1 species